GAUGAACGCUGGCGGCGUGCCUAAUACAUGCAAGUCGAGCGAACAGACGAGGAGCUUGCUCCUCUGACGUUAGCGGCGGACGGGUGAGUAACACGUGGAUAACCUACCUAUAAGACUGGGAUAACUUCGGGAAACCGGAGCUAAUACCGGAUAAUAUAUUGAACCGCAUGGUUCAAUAGUGAAAGACGGUUUUGCUGUCACUAUAGAUGGAUCCGCGCCGCAUUAGCUAGUUGGUAAGGUAACGGCUUACCAAGGCAACGAUGCGUAGCCGACCUGAGAGGGUGAUCGGCCACACUGGAACUGAGACACGGUCCAGACUCCUACGGGAGGCAGCAGUAGGGAAUCUUCCGCAAUGGGCGAAAGCCUGACGGAGCAACGCCGCGUGAGUGAUGAAGGUCUUCGGAUUGUAAAACUCUGUUAUUAGGGAAGAACAAAUGUGUAAGUAACUAUGCACGUCUUGACGGUACCUAAUCAGAAAGCCACGGCUAACUACGUG
rnacentral:rRNA from 1 species